CCUACGGGAGGCAGCAGUGGGGAAUUUUGGACAAUGGGCGCAAGCCUGAUCCAGCAAUGCCGCGUGCAGGAUGGAGGCCUUCGGGUUGUAAACUGCUUUUGUACGGAACGAAACGGUGAGCUCUAAUACAGUUUGCUAAUGACGGUACCGUAAGAAUAAGCACCGGCUAACUACGUGCCAGCAGCCGCGGUAAUACGUAGGGUGCGAGCGUUAAUCGGAAUUACUGGGCGUAAAGCGUGCGCAGGCGGUGAUGUAAGACAGAUGUGAAAUGCCCGGGCUCAACCUGGGACCUGCAUUUGUGACUGCAUCGCUAGAGUACGGUAGAGGGGGAUGGAAUUCCGCGUGUAGCAGUGAAAUGCGUAGAUAUGCGGAGGAACACCGAUGGCGAAGGCAAUCCCCUGGACCUGUACUGACGCUCAUGCACGAAAGCGUGGGGAGCAAACAGGAUUAGAUACCCUGGUAGUCCACGCCCUAAACGAUGUCAACUGGUUNUUGGGUCUUCACUGACUCAGUAACGAAGCUAACGCGUGAAGUUGACCGCCUGGGGAGUACGGCCGCAAGGUUGAAACUUCAAAGAUAGUAGGACGNGNGAGAGCGACGGACGACGACGAGGAGGAGG
rnacentral:rRNA from 1 species